rnacentral:lncRNA from 1 species
GAAAUAGGAACAGAUUAUUUAUAUUCGUAAAGAUUAUUGCAAGUCCCAACAUGAAUUUAGUGGCGGCAUAACGAAACUGAUAUUGCAAUACAACCCAUCUUACAUAACCAACAUUCCCAACGAACUAGUUAGUCAAUACACCAAUGCAAUAAACUUAAAAUGACAAAGAAUACGGUUAUAUUUACAAAACAAAGCAAAAUGAGUAAUAUAUAAUGGUUAGUAGCAAUUGCACAAAUAUAUCAAUUCUAAAUCUAUAGAUCGAUACUCAACUACAAUCCACCAUAUUCAUGGACACAUUUCCAUCUAAAAACGGUAUUGAUCCAACACAACUUUUGCACACAGUUAAUAUGCUUAGCAUAAUAUUAAAUAUUAAUAUACUCACAUAACCUAACCUGCAUAAUUAACAAAUCAAUUCAACUUUCCAAAUUCAAUGCCGCAAAAUUAACAUAUCUGUUUGAAUCGUACAAAAUCGAAAAACGUAACACCCUUAUAUUAAAACAGAGGCGAGGAUCCUUCAAAAAUAAAUAGCUUAACAUCCUCUAAGCUUGUAACAGAAUCAACAUUAAUUUAAAAAAAAAGUCUAACAGAAUCACUAACAAGUACAAACAGAACCGACUAAAUGCAACUUAAUGAUUCAUAAUGAAUUUCAGAUAUUUGAUAUGAAUUUCAAUUUCAGUUGAAUGAUAAUUCCUAACUAACUAAUCAAAUUUGAGAUAACUUUCAUUAUGAAUUUCAACCUAACUUCUAACCAACUCAGAAUGUUAUGAAAAUUUACCGUACUGAGAUUCUGCAGUUUCUUCAAAAAAAACUUCAAAAUCUUCAAUCCUUCCCUCUUUUGAUCUCGUUUUCUUCACCUUCUCGCAAUCGAUUCAUCAUGUAUUUCCGUUUCAGAUCCUCACGCCGCCAAGCUAACACCAUACAUUGGUCCACAACUUCACAACAAAAGCGGUUCUACUAUCGCCGAUUGUCGCCUUGUCGGAGUUCCAUUCCGGUAAAACGCAAUGGUCUCGGUGAUUCCGUCGUGGCUGUGAAUGAGGUUUCUUGUUGUUAGGUUGUGUAUUUCGCCGGACAGCCAACGGUUUGUUGUGAGGUGAAGGAAGGGGGUUUCCAGCGGAUGAGGUUUCGUGGAGGGAGCUCGUCGGUAGUGAUGCUGUUGUUCAACGGAGUGGACGGCGAUUAGGGGUGAGGAGAUGGAUUAGGUAGUUGUCAAAGUCGUUAGGUUAUGAGUGGUGAUGCGGUUGCGAAUGGAAAUGAGUGGAUUCGCUGUGGUUCGGUGAAGGAUGAAAGGCGUGCGUGGUUGUGGUUAGGGAGAAGGUGAGGUCGCGGUGGAGGUGGUUUGACCGCGGCGAUGGAAAUGGAGCGGAGGGUGCAAAGUUGCGGCUUGGGGUUUAGUAUUUGGGUUCGCCGGAAGAUUGAGGUGUACGACGGCUGUGAUGGAUUCGUGGUGGUGAAUGGAGUGAGCACUGAGUGAGGGGCGCGUGGUGGUGCUCUUGAGAAAAAAGAAGAAUUCUCCUUUUUCCUUACAACUUUCUCCUUUACUUUCUUUAUCAAAGCUUUUUGAGUGUGUGGAGAGAGAAGAGAGGGUGAACAGUGCCGGUAGUGGUGAGUGGGUAUUUUGUGAGUGAGAUUGACGUGAGGUGAGUGUGUGGAGAGAGAGGCGUGAGGUAAGUGUGAG